UGUCAAAACAUAGUAAGUUUUCUCGCCUCUAUAUUUUCUCCUUGAUCUCACUUUUACAUAUGUUUUAAGAUGAAUGCUAAUUUUAAUUUUUGUAGUGGCUAUAUGUCACCAGAGUAUGCAAUGCUUGGACAAUUUUCUGAAAAAUCAGAUGUGUUUAGCUUUGGUGUCAUGGUUCUUGAGAUUAUUACUGGAAAAAGGAGUAUGAAUGUUUAUGAAUCACACAAUGGUGUAGAAGGCCUCAUGGGUUAUGUUUGGAGACAAUGGAAGGAACAAGAACCAUUAAGCAUCUUGGAUUCAAACAUAAAAGAAAGAUAUUCACAAAUGGAAGUCCUUAGAUGCAUUCACAUCGGUUUAUUAUGUGUUCAAGAAAUUUUAAAUGAUAGGCCUACAAUGACAAUGGUUAUUUCAUAUCUUAAUAACCACUCACUUGAAUUGCCAUCUCCACAACAACCAGCAUUUUUCUUACACAGACGUAGAAUGGAUCAAGAGAUAGUUAUACAACAAGAAUCAAGUUUGAGUCACGCUACCAACGGUUCUGCAGUACUAUUCUCUAUCAAUGAGAUGUCUACUAGUAAUUUUUAUCCUCGAUAAUUAAUUGAUGAUUUAGUAUUUGAUAGCAUUGUCUAGGUUUUUUUUUUUUCAAAUGUAUUAUAAACUUUCAUUUGGCACUGUUAGUAGACUCCUUCCCAGAGUUUCACUUUUUUUGGUAGGACCUCCAUUUCGAACGGUGGCUACUAGUAUUUGGUUAUUUUGGCUAGUUUUUGGUUUGACUUCAAUAUAAUGCAACUCUAAGAAUAAGAGUGGUUGUUUACUUUUA